rnacentral:rRNA from 1 species
UACGGGGGGGGCAAGCGUUGUUCGGAAUUACUGGGCGUAAAGGGCUCGUAGGUUGCCAACUAAGUCAGACGUAAAAUCCCUCAGCUUAACUGGGGAACUGCGUCUGAUACUGGAUGGCUUGAGUUUGGGAGAGGGAUGCGGAAUUCCAGGUGUAGCGGUGAAAUGCGUAGAUAUCUGGAGGAACACCGGUGGCGAAGGCGGCAUCCUGGACCAACACUGACACUGAGGAGCGAAAGCCAGGGGAGCAAACGGG